rnacentral:lncRNA from 1 species
UUUUUCUGGUAGAAUUUAAUAAAAGAGUGUAAGAAAAAAUUAGUCUCUAGAUAUACAAUAGCAAGAUUUAAAAAUGUCUUACAUAUAUAUGUUUGAGGAAGAGGGAAAGACAAAGUUUUGCUAAACAAUAUCGCCAGCUAGUAACAGUAAAUCUCAUUGAAGAGUUUCACAGUACUAUGGUGUGUGUAGACAUUUCAGUCAAUUAUCAAGCAAGUUCAGUUACAUAGACAAGAAACCCUAAAAUUCAAGCAAGGGGUUUUUAGUUCUAAUCUCUGUUACAUAAGAUUAUAUUUGCCUUCAUGAAUUCACAUAAAAGGGCAAUGUACUUUUAACAUAUGGGACUAAGGAACAUACAGUAUUAUAGUUUUGUAGUCAAACCCAAAGAAAACAACAACAAAGGAUGGGUAUUUGAACUUUCUCCCAAGCCAGAAUAACUGUAUUCUACCAAUUUGGUUGAAACAGUGAAAUGCCAUAUAGACUUGUAUUACCACAGAUGGAGAUUAUGUUUUAUGAAAUAACUUUAGUCACCUUGGCAGAGAAUACCAAGGUUUGAGAAAAAAAAACAUGUAACCCCUUCCCACCCAAAGUACAAACAAGGAGAUUCCUUUCACAGUGCAAUCUCUUCAUGGCAAUUACAAAUCAUCAUGUUGUACAGAAAUGCUUGAAACACAGGCUUCAAAUAUCAUGAUGAACCCAGACACUAGAAUCCUGGGAGUGAGUUACAAUUUUCAAGUCUGUCACUCAAGACAGUGAAAUCUAGAACAUAAACCCCAGUUAGGAACUAGGAAAACCCUUCCUCUUCUAUCUCACCAUUUUCAAGUGAAGGAUGAAACAUUCUUUCACAAUCAGACCCUGAAACAGAUCUUUUGAACUAUCAUGUGGGUCCCCCUGCCCUUGGAAUUAGCCCUUGAUCAGAGACAAGAACAAGGAGGAGAAAGAAGUGGUAAUAAUAUAUAUUGUCAGGGGACUAAGAUACUGGAGAGAAAACAGAAGAGAGAACAUCAGUGAACAAAUGUUCAUCAGUUCUCUUUGUGAAUUUUUGUUUACUAAAACACUCCUUGAAGGGUUUCAGCAUCAAAUUAACACUGUUAUUUGUAAUCAGUACUAGAAAAGUAAUGAGACCUCUUUAAGAUUAUUGCACAAAAACCUGGCAGCAAACCAUUAACAACCCUUUGAAAUGCACAUAUAGAUCAGUUUCUGAAACUGAUUUACAGAAUGUCUUUAAAGUAUAAAAUAAAUAUAUUGUUAAAGAAUAGAAACUAAAUACAAUUACUUUUAUUUAAAUCAAGUCCAGCAAGAAAAUAUUUCAAUAUGGCAAAUACCCCAGCA